UUGAGAACACAUAAAAUAGUCUGAAAUUUCUAUUUCAGAUCCAGAUUCUAAGACAAUUGAUGUGGAUUGCGGGGACAUUCACAGUUCAGGCUGAUUAUUUGGUCAGAAGAGACAGAUUCUGUUGUGAGAAAGUUGCUUUCCCCCCACCUCCUGGUGCUGACCAUCUGAAGGCUAUCUAGAAACUGUCCCAAACUACAUAUGCUAAGUAUGCUUCUUAAAAAUUAAAACAAGUUUGACAUGAUCACUUGCCAGCUCAUAUGGUAAAAUAAAUACACCAAACUAAAUACAAUUCCCAUCUGACCCAGCCAAUAAGAUUAUUUGUAUUUGAGGUGAUGGUGGAAGGAUGCUGUAUUUGAAAUCACCAGAUGAAAAAGUUGAAUUUUUAUUGCCUUCCUUAAUGUUCUCCAGAACCUGUCAGAACCUGCUGGAUUUAACCCCUGGUGGAACUCCUUAGCAUUAGAGGGCUGUUUGGAAAGUGAAACAGCAUUUGUU